rnacentral:rRNA from 1 species
GGCGACGAUCAGUAGGGGUUCUGAGAGGAAGGUCCCCCACAUUGGAACUGAGACACGGUCCAAACUCCUACGGGAGGCAGCAGUGGGGAAUAUUGGUCAAUGGGCGAGAGCCUGAACCAGCCAAGUAGCGUGCAGGACGACGGCCCUAUGGCUUGUAAACUGCUUUUAUAAGGGAAUAAAGUGAGUCUCGUGAGACUUUUUGCAUGUACCUUAUGAAUAAGGACCGGCUAAUUCCGUGCCAGCAGCCGCGGUAAUACGGAAGGUCCGGGCGUUAUCCGGAUUUAUUGGGUUUAAAGGGAGCGUAGGCCGGAGAUUAAGCGUGUUGUGAAAUGUAGGCGCUCAACGUCUGCACUGCAGCGCGAACUGGUUUCCUUGAGUACGCACAAAGUGGGCGGAAUUCGUGGUGUAGCGGUGAAAUGCUUAGAUAUCACGAAGAACUCCGAUUGCGAAGGCAGCUCACUGGAGCGCAACUGACGCUGAAGCUCGAAAGUGCGGGUAUCGAACAGGAUUAGAUACCCUGGUAGUCCGCACGGUAAACGAUGGAUGCCCGCUGUUGGCCUGAAUAGGUCAGCGGCCAAGCGAAAGCAUUAAGCAUCCCACCUGGGGAGUACGCCGGCAACGGUGAAACUCAAAGGAAUUGACGGGGGCCCGCACAAGCGGAGGAACAUGUGGUUUAAUUCGAUGAUACGCGAGGAACCUUACCCGGGCUUGAAUUGCAGAGGAAGGAUUUGGAGACAAUGACGCCCUUCGGGGCCUCUGUGAAGGUGCUGCAUGGUUGUCGUCAGCUCGUGCCGUGAGGUGUCGGCUUAAGUGCCAUAACGAGCGCAACCCCUCUCCUUAGUUGCCAUCAGGUCAUGCUGGGCACUCUGGGGACACUGCCACCGUAAGGUGUGAGGAAGGUGGGGAUGACGUCAAAUCAGCACGGCCCUUACGUCCGGGGCUACACACGUGUUACAAUGGCAGGUACAGAGAGACGGUCCCUUGCAAAAGGGAUCAAAUCCUCAAAGCCUGUCUCAGUUCGGACUGGGGUCUGCAACCCGACCCCACGAAGCUGGAUUCGCUAGUAAUCGCGCAUCAGCCAUGGCGCGGUGAACACGUUCCCGGGCCUUGUACACACCGCCCGUCAAGCCAUGAAAGCCGGGGGCGCCUAAAGUCCGUGACCGUAAGGAGCGGCCUAGGGCGAAACUGGUAAUUGGGGCUAAGUCGUAACAAGGUA